UGAACAUCAAACCUGAUUAACAUCAGCUUUUAGGCAUUGCGACUUUUAGUUGCUACAUCAGUUAGCUUAAAAUCAUGGAUGUGUAAACGUUUACAAAGUGGCUUAAAUGACUAGAUUUAGUGCAUUUAGGUGAAUUCAUAAUGAUCUGCGUGGUUACUGUCUAACAUAUUCACUAUAGUCCUAGCUUCUCUUUAUUAGUGCUGAGUGUUGUACUUUUAUACAGUUUGAUAUGCCUCUUAAUACGGUCAAGUCUAGGGUCACAAGACACUUAAGAUUAAUGGUUGUUUUGAGCUUGCUGAACUUGUGUACAGCUGUCUUUGUGGAACUCGAUUUUGUUCAAAGCUUGAAAACCUGUAGCAGCAGCAGCUGUUGACGCUCCUGUCUGACCUUUUAGCCUGUCUACUCAGGUAUAGAGAAAACACUUCUCACCUGUGGAUUUUUGUCUCUGUUUGGACUCAGCCUGUCUGUGUGUGUGUGUGACCUUGGCAUUGGCCCAGCAGACUGUAGGCAACGUGCUGCCAGUGUAAACGGUCAUCUAAGCCUGGCACAGAGAUUGCAGGUUGUCAACAGGUAUUUUCACAAUAGCUGCUAUUAAGUACUAGCUCUCAGGGUAUUUUCACAAAGCUUUACUCUCAGGAUAAGAUGGUGACUCGCUGGGAAGGCAUGACAAAAUGAAGAAAAUAGCUUUCUUAUUUUGCCUAAAUUAGAUUGAAUGUUAUGAAAAAGACCAGCUGGCGAUAUUGAAAGGUGCCAGCAUGAUGAUUUUCACACAGUCAGAAAAUAACCCCUGUGCCCACAUUAUGCCAUCUGUCAGGUGGUCAUGUGCGAUUUCACUUCCAGACACCAUUCGUAUCUGAACAGUCUUCAGUAUGUCUGAAACCUCUCUUUUGAUUUACACAAACCCCACACAUCAGCAUUUACUUCACAGGAUUAGAUGCUAGGACUUAGUAAUUGGAUCUUCAAAAAGAAAAACACCCACUGAAAGGGUGCGCCCCUUCGCUGAUUGAGAAUCAAUCAGCCAUUGUUUAUUCCUGUUGAUGCUUUAUCCUGACGGAAAAAUAAAUGAGGAGUCUAUUUGGCUUGGGUAAUGACUCCCUGCCGGCUGCCUCUUGUCCACCCUAAAGGCUCUACGGGUGUCAAAUAAUCAGUACGCCCAAGUCCUUAAAUGUGAGCCAGUUCUGACAAACAACAAAUUGUGUUUGUGGUCCCUGUACAUCCCUUUCCUUUCUGGCGCAAGAGGCAGCCGCUGCCUCGCCUCGUUUGAGAGGUGCUGUUUUUCAUCCCUCGCGAUGACAGCCAUACUCUUGUCAUUCCCGCUGUGCUCCUGCCACGGCCGCCUCGCUCUACUCGAGGCUGUUCUUUUUUCUUCACACCCCCUCUUCCACAGCAAAUGUUUUUGGCAAUUGCCUUUUUUUCUUCUUACCUUGAUUAAUUCAGCGGCACGAAUGAAUACAGCCCGGCAAAGUAAACAAUGCGACCCUCGAGUUUUGUCCAAUCUGAAUCAGUCCUCGCCUGUUUCCCAGCAGACACCUAUGAGCCUUUGCCAAUGCUGCUAUUGCUGUCCUUGAUGAUGAUGAUCAUGAGGAUGAUGGUGAGGAUGAGGAGCAUGAUAGCCCUUUCUAUUAGUGCACACUGAACCUCCAGAAGCCCGAAGCAGUCGUCUGUUUAUCCCUUGUCAUGACACCUGACUGUAUAAAUGGGUCCUGUCUGUUUGUUUUAUCGUCAACAGGGCCGGGCCUGGCCUCCCAGGCAAACAGAGAGGGGGUCAGGGAGACUCCAGCAGAAGACGUGGCAGUAAGAGCAAUGGUGGCUGCCACGGUCACUCCACUUACUCCCAUGUGGCUCCUGGCUCUUUUUUUAUAGCGCUGUGCGUCCUUUUAUACGUGGUGACUAAGUCCCUCGGGGGAAGGAGAGUAAAUUGUGUAUUCUGUUGUUUCACCGUAUCAGUUGGCUUUUUCCGACUUCUUUCUAUUUUAGUGGCGGUUCAGUUCCGGUUAUGUGAGCACUUACAUUUGUUUGGGUGACGCAUCAUUAGGAACUGUUGUUUUUAUUUCUUAUGGCUGACCUUGCACAGUGGUUGAAAAUUUCCUUUUAUUAUUUGUAGAAUGAUUGCCCACAUUUUUUUACGACUCAGUGAUGAAAAUUGCAUUUUCUAAAUCAAUCAGUCAUUUAAUCAAUGCCUCUCUUCAGGAUGUGUUUCUUCCACAUUUAUCCUGAAUGUCUGAUGUGAAGAGGUGAGUCAUAGAAAUUUUUACAAAUAUUAUAAAAGACAAGGGGUAAGAAGCAGCUGUAUGUAACAAGG
rnacentral:lncRNA from 1 species